AACGAACGCUGGCGGCAGGCCUAACACAUGCAAGUCGAGCGCGCCUUCGGGUGAGCGGCGGACGGGUUAGUAACGCGUGGGAACGUGCCCUUCUCUACGGAAUAGCCUCUGGAAACGGAGAGUAAUACCGUAUACGCCCUUUGGGGGAAAGAUUUAUCGGAGAAGGAUCGGCCCGCGUUAGAUUAGGUAGUUGGUGGGGUAACGGCCUACCAAGCCUACGAUCUAUAGCUGGUUUUAGAGGAUGAUCAGCAACACUGGGACUGAGACACGGCCCAGACUCCUACGGGAGGCAGCAGUGGGGAAUCUUAGACAAUGGGGGCAACCCUGAUCUAGCCAUGCCGCGUGAGUGAUGAAGGCCCUAGGGUUGUAAAGCUCUUUUGUGCGGGAAGAUAAUGACGGUACCGCAAGAAUAAGCCCCGGCUAACUUCGUGCCAGCAGG
rnacentral:rRNA from 1 species